rnacentral:rRNA from 1 species
GAUGAACGCUAGCUACAGGCUUAACACAUGCAAGUCGAGGGGAAACGACAUCGAAAGCUUGCUUUUGAUGGGCGUCGACCGGCGCACGGGUGAGUAACGCGUAUCCAACCUGCCCAUCACUUGGGAAUAACCUUGCGAAAGUAAGACUAAUACCCAAUGACAUCCCACGAAGACAUCUGAAUGGGAUUAAAGAUUUAUCGGUGAUGGAUGGGGAUGCGUCUGAUUAGCUUGUUGGCGGGGUAACGGCCCACCAAGGCAACGAUCAGUAGGGGUUCUGAGAGGGAGGUCCCCCACAUUGGAACUGAGACACGGUCCAAACUCCUACGGGAGGCAGCAGUGAGGAAUAUUGGUCAAUGGGCGAGAGCCUGAACCAGCCAAGUAGCGUGCAGGAUGACGGCCCUAUGGGUUGUAAACUGCUUUUAUAAGGGAAUAAAGUGGGUCUCGUGAGACUUUUUGCAUGUACCUUAUGAAUAAGGACCGGCUAAUUCCGUG